GACGAACGCUGGCGGCGUGCUUAACACAUGCAAGUCGAACGAUGAAGAAGAGAAACGCGAACUUCGGUUCAAAUUUCACUUCGGAUUAGUGGCAGACGGGUGAGUAACGCGUGAGCAACCUACCUCUUACAAAGGGAUAGCCUCGGGAAACCGUGAUUAAUACCAUAUGACACAUUCAUAAGGCAUCUUAAGAAUGUUAAAGCUACGGCGGUAAAAGAUGGGCUCGCGUCCCAUUAGCUAGUUGGUGAGGUAACGGCCCACCAAGGCGACGAUGGGUAACCGGCCUGAGAGGGUGAACGGUCACAUUGGAACUGAGACACGGUCCAAACUCCUACGGGAGGCAGCAGUGGGGAAUAUUGCACAAUGGAGGGAACUCUGAUGCAGCGACGCCGCGUGAGCGAUGAAGGAAUUCGUUUCGUAAAGCUCUGUUCUAUGGGAAGAAAAGGACUGUACCAUAGGAGAAAGCCCCGGCUAAAUACGUG
rnacentral:rRNA from 1 species